CUAGAUAGCGCAUCUCUUUUAGUAAAAUUGAAGCCAAGAAUAUUCCGGCGGUUACCCCCAUUUGAAUAGAUGGCGGCCAUGUUGAAGUUUCCCACUCGCUAAUAAACGCUUAAAAAACAACAAUAACUUUCAUCAUUUGAACAGUUUGUAAAUGUAGGCUACUUGGAAUAGGUUUAACUUAAUGUUUAAGUUCCCUGUUUAAGAAAUAGAAAACAUAGGAGUCUCCUCAUUUCAUGGGAAUAUCCUGAGUCUCAUGCAAUCACGGCUUCAAUUUUUGAAUUGCAGAAUAAUGGGGUAUCUAUUUAGCUGCAAUAAUUAUAUACGAAGCAAAGUCACUUAAGUUUAAAAUUAAAGAUGACAAAGUUGCGGUGGCUCAAAAUUCGUUACCUAAAAUUUGUUCUCGUUAUUAGAUAUAUACGGUUUUUAUGUUUAAAAUUUCUUUCCUGGUUUUAAAAUGCAAACUUUCUCCACCAAACAAAAGUUGCCUAAUUGUUUUCCUGCAUUCUUAUAUACACUUUCGCUCGUUUUAAAAUGUUCUAUUCGAUUGAAUACUUUACACCCUCGCGUUUACUUUCCCUAUUUACUGUCCUUGGAUAAGGUUGUCACUUGAUGCAUAUCUAAAUUUAAAGAUAAAAAGCAGAGCCCAGCAAAUAACUUUAAAACCAAAUAUAAUAAAAGGG